rnacentral:rRNA from 1 species
CCCAGACUCCUACGGGAGGCAGCAGUGGGGAAUAUUGCACAAUGGGCGAAAGCCUGAUGCAGCAACGCCGCGUGAAGGAAGAAGGCUUUCGGGUUGUAAACUUCUUUUCUGAGGGACGAAGAAAGUGACGGUACCUCAGGAAUAAGCCCCGGCUAACUACGUGCCAGCAGCCGCGGUAAUACGUAGGGGGCAAGCGUUAUCCGGAUUUACUGGGUGUAAAGGGAGCGUAGACGGCAGUGCAAGUCUGGAGUGAAAGGCGGGGGCUCAACCCCCGGACUGCUCUGGAAACUGUACGGCUGGAGUGCAGGAGAGGUAAGUGGAAUUCCUAGUGUAGCGGUGAAAUGCGUAGAUAUUAGGAGGAACACCGGUGGCGAAGGCGGCCUGCUGGACUGUAACUGACGUUGAGGCUCGAAAGCGUGGGGAGCAAACAGGAUUAGAUACCCCGGUAAC